AGUGUUAUCCUAGCCUAGUGGACAUGGCAUCUGCCCGGUAAGCGGAACAUUGUGAGUUCGAUUCCCAUCCCUGGACACUU
rnacentral:tRNA from 1 species